ACCCAUACUCCGGGGAUAGCCCAGUUGGUAGGGCCUAAGACCCUUGAUCUCUGGGUUGUUGGUUCGAGCCCCACGCUGGGCA